AAUCUUCCACAAUGGACGGAAGUCUGAUGGAGCAACGCCGCGUGAGCGAAGAAGGUUUUCGGAUCGUAAAGCUCUGUUGUAAGGGAAGAACACGUACGGGUAUCACUGCCGGUUCCUCUACGGUACCUUUCCAAAAAGCCCCGGCUAACUCCCUGCCCCACGCCGCGGUAAUACGUAGGUGGCAAGCGUUGUCCGGAAUUAUUGGGCGUAAAGCGCGCGCAGGCGGUCCUUUAAGUCUGAUGUGAAAGCCCACGGCUCAACCGUGGAGGGUCAUUGGAAACUGGAGGACUUGAGUACAGAAGAGGAAAGCGGAAUUCCACGUGUAGCGGUGAAAUGCGUAGAGAUGUGGAGGAACACCAGUGGCGAAGGCGGCUUUCUGGUCUGUAACUGACGCUGAGGCGCGAAAGCGUGGGGAGCAAACA
rnacentral:rRNA from 1 species